rnacentral:rRNA from 1 species
CGGCGGACGGGUGAGUAACGCGUGGGUAACCUACCCCGUACACACAGAUAACAUACCGAAAGGUGUGCUAAUACGGGAUAAUAUAUUUGAGAGGCAUCUCUUGAAUAUCAAAGGUGAGCCAGUACAGGAUGGACCCGCGUCUGAUUAGCUAGUUGGUAAGGUAACGGCUUACCAAGGCGACGAUCAGUAGCCGACCUGAGAGGGUGAUCGGCCACAUUGGAACUGAGACACGGUCCAA